UACGUAGGAUCCAAGCGUUGUCCGGAUUUACUGGGUGUAAAGGGUGCGCAGGCGGACUGGUAAGUCUGGGGUGAAAUCUCGCCGCUUAACGGCGAAACUGCCUUAGAUACUAUCAGUCUUGGAUAAGCGAGAGGUUCGUGGAAUUCCGAGUGUAGCAGUGAAAUGUGUAGAUAUUCGGAAGAACACCAGUGGCGAAGGCAGCGAACUGGCGCUUUAUCGACGCUCAUGCACGAAAAGCAUGGGGGAUCAAACAGG
rnacentral:rRNA from 1 species